AUGGCUCCUGCAUCAUCCAAAGGGAGGAAAAAAGGUGGGAAGGGGCGUAAGCAUGCACAAGUUCUAAAUGGAUUCUCAACAAAGUGACACCAGUAGUGCUUGGUACAGGCAAGAGAUACAAAUUUCCUUGAUGAGGCUUAUUAGAUUUUAAGAAACACUAGGAAAAACAAGAGAACGGUUUUAUGUCCUAGAAAUUUAAAUCAAAAGGAAAAAUAGGAGAGGGGACAGAAAAAGGGCUUCAUUUCUCAUAAAGUUGUGAAACUUGUGUCUCUAGAAGUUUAAUGUGGGUUUUUCAUAUUAAAAUGAGAGAAGAAAUUGAAGUAAUUGAAAGUUAUUUAUGUUGUUUUGUGACAAUUAAAUAUUAUUGUCUCACUAAAUUGUGGACAACAAAGGGACAAACUGUUAGUGCUUUACUGAAUCUCUGAAACUUAGCAAAUAAUUAAAAUGUAUUAGUUGUUUUUUUUUUUUUUUUUUUUUUUUUUUCCUGGUGUUUAUAAAAGUGAUUAUAAGAGUUUAAUCAGCUUCUUGGGAAUCAAACACAAGUCUAACCAUAUUUUUCAACGAGGAGGUGUUAAUUAUCAUCUGAUCUCAUGCAAAUGAUGGGGAAUUUUCAACAUAAUACGAAAUUUCUGACAUAAAGAGUAAAAGAUGGUAACAUGAUAAUGAAUUCUACCAUAAUAAUAAUAAUAAUAAUGGAAAAAAAAAAUGGAAGAAGAAGAAGAAGCAAACUGACAAUAGGCAAUAGCGUGAGCAAUCUGUUGUCUAAUCUUAAUUGGGCAAUGCCAAUGGGGACCGAAAGAUUUGUCUUGUUUCAUGAAAAUUAUUGUCCUUUUCAAUUAAUAGGACUUACUCAUUGCUCCUUAGUUACACUAUAUUAGGUGUGGUCAUUUCAUGCAAACCGUAAGGACCAAAUGAACUGGCUGCCUAGGCCUACUUAGAAUAGUGGCUGGAUUAGUCCAACCGUGACCCAAAACAAUGAAUUUGUAAGAAAGAGAAACGAACAACAAAAGAGUCUUCGCUCGAAGAGGAAAUUAUGGGAGAAAAGGCAGAUGUUAUUAAAUGGAUGAACCAAUUUCUCAGUUCAAGCUGGCCCAAGGAGGCCACAAUUACAUAGGAAAUGUUACUGUUCACCCUCUUUUCUCUCAAUGUUCUUCUUGUUUCUUUUCUAUAUCUUGGUACUUGUGUCUGGAUCCCUCUCUUUGUGAACCCACAUUUUUUUAUAUACUCUUUCUUUCAUCAUAUCUCAACCAUCCAUCCUUACCUAACAAACUUCCUCUCAUGACAUUUGUCCCUUUUCACAUCUGAAUAAGGUGGUGGAAGAAGUUUGCUCAGCUAUGACUCACACUAUUUAGGUCACUUCCUUAUCAAUACAACUAAUAAAGCUGUUGCCCACCAUUUAAUGCGGAGGCAACACGCUAUUCCAAACUAGAAACUUCCCUAAUGAUCACUAAUUCUCUCUCUUCAUAUCCUUCUUUCCAUCGGGAACGCCUCAGAGUCCUUUGACUUAUCCCUUCCUCUCUUUGGGUGACUUCCCUCCUCGGGCCCGUGGGCUGCAGCAUUCCUACACUUAUACUACAACUCUUCAACUUCUUUCUUAGUCCUUAAGCACACACAAUAGCCCCCUAAAACUUUUGCUAUUGACCCUGAGGCAAAAGCAAAGUUUUAGUUUACUCAAGUAGACUAUACACGUGCCACAUGCGUUCCCACAUGAUAAUGUCCUUUCACCUGUUUCCAGCACGCUCUUGACACUUCGGAAUCCACGAUUUCACAUUUACGGCGUUAGGCGGCUACUUAUCUCCCCACGUUCUAUGGCUCGAUCAAGAUCCUACGAUUCCUAUCUUCCCUCGUUUAUAAGCGAAAAACUUACUGCCCAUUUUUUACCCCUAUAAAAGGAGAGUAUGGGGCUGGUUGAAGUUCAUUUACACAUUCUGGCAAUCUAAGUUGAAGCAACCUCUCGAGGAGAAUUUUUCUCUUUGCUUAUAGGUGUGUUCAUUCUCCUAUUUCUAUUUUUGCAUAAGUUUACUCUUUCACAUCAUAAAACUCCAUGGGUAGAUACGCUAAGUUAGUAGAUACUCCCGAGGGUAGGGCUUUCUUUAGGGCACAAUAUAGGAUUCUUAAUGGUGUUGAAAUCCAACACUGUGAAUAUGGUGAAUGGAUGGUCUUGAAGAGACCUCCCGAAUCCGUGGUCAUUCCUAUAAUCACCUUCAUUGAAGGCAGGAUGGAACUUCCCAUGGGAAGGGUUACUAGGGAGUAUCUAAUAAACUAUAGGUUGACCCCCACCCAAUGCUUCCCAAAUGUCUUUAGGGUCCUCAAGCGUGUAGAUAUGCUAAAUAGGAAAAUGGGGACCAACCUUACCUGGCAUGACGUAAACUGGGUAUACAAUUGCCAAAAAAGAGAAAAAACUAAAUAUUACAUCAAAUGUAAAGUCCCCACUAUUAGAUUAAUCUUCUGCCUACCUAACUCAAGUAAGGGUAUGGAUGAGAACUUCCUCAUCGUCUUGGGAGAUUGGCAUAAUGGACUACAUUGUCCCACCCAAGAAGGGGACUCGGGUAGAGUUCCCGAGGACCAUAGGAUGCACAUAGGAUGUUACCUGAGUUCAUCAAAAUGAUUUUUUUUUUUUUUUUUUUGGUAGUUGUAUACCCAGUUUACUUCAUGCCAGGUAAGGUUGGUCACCAUUUUCUUUGCCUUCAACAGUUGAGGUUAAUGUAUAAAUUAGAGUAAAAUUUAGGUAUAAUAUCUUACCAACAUUAUAUUAGGUUCUUUAAUUAAAUUUAAACAUGAAAAAUUUUAGAAUACUCUAAGAGAAUAAUAAAUGUGUAUUCCCUUCUUUUACAUAAUAAUGAAUCUCACUAAUAUGAGAGAAGAGAGUAUACAGUUAUUGUACUAGUGUAUUACCAGAAUAUUCUAUAAUUAUAUUAAUACAUUAUUAGAUUGAAUUUAAUUGUUCUUGCAAAUAAUAAUAAUAACACCAUUUGUGAUUUAUUAGUCAAUGCAAUAAGGUAUUUGAAUUUAAUUUAAAAUCUAAUAUACUUUACCCAAGGCUUUCUAUUACAUUUCCCACUCUUACGGUUUGGGAAAAUUACAGUCCUCUCGCUUAAGGUUUGGGGGAAUGACACUCUAUCCCACUCUUACGGUUUGGUAAUAGAAUAUUCCAAAAUUUUAAAAAUUCUCUUUACCAAAGUUUAAUCAAUUUUAGUAAAAUUCUAAACUCGAUUUAGUUUAGUUUCUAAACACGUUGACUUAAAUUGAAGGCUAAGCUACAUAUUUAACUGUUGAGAAUAAUGAAAGAAGUCUUGCUCAUCAGCCUAAGGUUCAAGAUGUGCUUCAUGUUGAACCACUUGCACAACAGAACAGACCCAUACUUGAUGUAGAGAAUGGUUGCAUAACUCAAACCUCACAGACAGCUUGGGCAAGCAGAGAACUGAUGGACUUAAUUGAAGCUGUGCCGUUUCAUGAGCAGUUCUUACACUCUUGGUGAUUAGGCACUCCAAGCACACGUGUACAUAGAAAGUGGCUGUAAUUGUUUUCCCUCCAAAUUCCCUAAAAUUCAGGGAAGUUUGUUACUCUGUUUUCUUCUUCUUUCAAUUUGUAUAUAUAUAGGAGUAGUGCUGUGUACGAAACAAAAGUACUUGUAUUUUUUCAAUCAAUAAAAUUAGUAUUCUAGAAUUUUACAUGGUAUCAGAGCCUUGGCUAGCACAGACUCACUGAUUUCCUAGCCAAUUCCUUUUUCAAUUUUCUUUCUUUGAUCAGAUAUUCUUUCCGAGAAAAUUCAUUCUUUUAAUUUCUGCAGAAUUUUCUUGAAGAAUAAUCUCAUUUCCUCUGUUUUUCAUUUUUCAUAAUCGAGUCCUUGAGCACCAUUCAUGGCGUCUCCAGAAUCAAGUGUCCAAACCAAUCGUACUUCUCAAUCAAACACUGAAACGUAUUCCUCAAAUCUUCCAAAUCCAUAUUUUCUCAAUCCAAAUGAAAAUCCAGGCAACAUUUUGGUUACACAGCCACUGCUUGGAAUGAAGAAUUAUCACUCUUGGUCUAGGGCUAUGAUCUUAGCUCUCACUGCCAAGAAGAAGAUAGGUUUCAUUAAUGGAAAAAUUACUGAACCAGAUCCAGAAUCUCCUCUCUAUGAAGAUUGGUUAAGUUGCAACACAAUGGUGAUUUCAUGGAUGAUCAACUCCAUGCACGUUGAUGUAUCUAGCAGCAUAAUGUACUGUCAAACUGCCAGAGAGAUGUGGCUUGAAUUACAAAGGGUCUAUUCACAGAGUAGUGGUCCCAAAAUGUACAAUCUUCAGAAGGAAAUCUCUAAUAUUUCUCAGAACCAGAUGACAGUAACAGAGUAUUUUACAAGAUUCAAGAAACUACGGGAUCAACUGAUUAAUUUGGAACCAUUACCAGAGUGUACCUGCGGAGCAAUCAAAACCCUAAGUGCUUCUCAUGACAAGGCUUAUGCAAUGAGAUUUCUGAUGGGUUUGAAUGAGAAUUUUGACACUAUAAGGACUCAAAUUCUGAUGCAGGAGCCUUUUCCUUCGAUUAGCAAAAUUUAUGCCUUGGUUCUUCAAGAAGAGUCACAUAAGAGCAUUGGUCAUGGUGGUACUUUCUCUUCACAAUCAGACACAGUGGCAAUGUUUGUUAAUUCCAAGGGAAAUUCUGGUAAUUCUAAUUGGAAUAAAGGAAAUAACAACAAAAGAGAGAGGCCACUGUGCACGCAUUGCAAUAUGCUUGGACAUACAGUUGAAAAAUGUUACAAAUUGCAUGGGUAUCCUCCUGGAUACAAGCAUAAAGGCAAGGCCAAUGCCACUGCAAAUCAAGUUUCUUCUGAUCAAAGCACAGUAUCAGAGUGUGCUUCCAUUUCAUCCAAUCAAUGUCCUAUUUCUAAAUCUCAAUGUGAACAGUUACUGGCAUACUUGAGUGCUGGUGGUGGUGAAAUUCAUCAUGCAGCAAAUGUAAGCAGUGUUGGUGUUGAUGGAUUUUCUGGUACAGCUUCUAGUGUGGCUGCUGGGGUGGGUUCUACUUCCUCACAAUCUCAAGCCAAUCUUGUUUCACAGUCUGAUCUCAUCAAUACCAUGUCAGGUACUCUAUCUACUUUGCCUUUUAAACCCAAUUUAGAACAUUCAAUUUUUUCUGCCAAAACAGUAAAUAGAGAAGCUUUUAAUUCCACUGAUUGGGUCAUAGAUACAGGAGCAACUGACCAUAUGGUACAUUCCAUUACAUACUUUACUUCCAUUACUUCUACCUUAAACACUCAUGUUAAUUUGCCUAAUGGUGAGAUUGCUCUUGUAACCCACAUAGGAACUGUCAAAAUCACAGAAAAACUUGUUCUAUAUGAUGUUCUUUGUGUUCCUUCUUUUAGCUUCAACCUUAUAUCUGUCAGUCAAUUGUCUAAAUCCAUAUUUUGCUGCCUUAUUUUCUUUGGUAACAUGUGUUUUAUCCAGGACCUUGCUCUUUGGAGCACAAUUGGUCAGGGUAAGGAGUUCAAUGGUCUUUACCUGCUAGAAGAGAGCAAAUCAGCUUCAAUUUCUUUUUCAGCAGUGUUUUCUGUUCAUAAUGUACAGCCACAUGUAUGGCAUUCUCGUUUGGGGCAUCUGUCAAAUGCCAAGUUAGCUUUGAUGUAUGAUAAUAAUGUGCCUCUUUUCAAUCCCAAUAAACAAUUUCAUUGUGAAAUCUGUCCUUUGGCUAAGCAAAAGAAACUAUCUUUUCCUUCAAGUUCUCAUGUAUCCAAAGCAUGUUUUGAUUUGAUUCAUUGUGAUAUAUGGGGUCCUUUCUCUGUCUCUACAAUUGAUGGUUUCAAAUACUUCUUGACUAUUGUUGAUGAUUGUUCUAGGUGCACUUGGGUGUAUUUGUUGAAGCACAAAUCAGAUACACAGUCUACUUUGGACCAGUUUUGUACAAUGACUGAGACACAAUUUAAUACUAAAGUGAAAUGUAUCAGAAGUGAUAAUGGUACUGAAUUUAUAAUGAAGGAUUUAUUUGUUAAAAGAGGUAUCUUGCAUCAACUCAGCUGUGUUGAAACUCCUCAGCAAAAUGCUAUUGUGGAAAGGAAACAUCAACACAUACUGAAUGUUGCAAGAGCCCUCAGAUUUCAAUCCAACUUACCAUUGCAUUUCUGGGGUCAUUGUAUACUUACUGCAGUGUAUUUGAUAAAUAGAACUCCUAAUUCAGUUUUGUCUCAUAAAACACCUUUUGAAAUCUUGUUUGGUCAUGCUCCUAGUUAUUCACAUUUGAGAGUUUUUGGCUGUUUAUGCUAUGCCUCUACUCUCUCACACAAUAGAUCCAAGUUUGCCCCUAGAGCUAAGAAGUGUGUUUUCUUGGGUUAUCCUUUUGGUGUCAAGGGUUACAAAGUAUUGGAUUUGUCUACAAACACCAUUUUUGUUUCUAGGGAUGUUGUUUUUCAUGAGGAUUUCUUUCCAUUUGCUUCUGUUUCCACUGUUGAAUCUGAUCCAUUUAUGCUUGAAGCUGGUUCUAACUCUACUCCACAGGUUAUAAAAGACACAUUUGUUACUCCUAUUAAUGUUACUAAUGAUUCUAAUCCAUCUUUGAGUGUUUUUGAUGUCUCAGUCUCCCAUUCAAAUGAUAAUCUCAACAAUACUUUCACAACCCAUGCUACUUCACCUCCAUUAACCUCCUUUGAUCAGACUUUAGCUGCUGAAUCCUCUUCUCAAUCUUUGUCUAGUGUUCCUACUGAUCAAUCCUUAUCUGAUUCACACUUGCCUGUUGCUGGGCCACCACUUGUUCCUACUAGAAGAUCAACCAGGGUCCAUAAACCACCUGUUUACUUACAAGAUUACUCUUGUAAUGUUGCUGCUGCUGCUGCUAGUCCUAGCACACCUUAUGAUAUUGCAACAUCUCUCACUUAUUCCCAUUUAGAGCCUACUUAUCAUUCUUAUCUCAUGUCUAUCAGUACUAAUGCUAAAGAACCUGAGCAUUUCUUUCAAGCUGUGAAGAAUCCAGCUUGGAGAGAGGCAAUGGAUAAGGAGAUUUCAGCACUUGAAAAGAACAAUACUUGGGUUAUCACUCCUUUACCUCCUGGGAAAACCCCCAUUGGUUGUAAAUGGGUGUACAAAAUAAAGCUCAAUCCGGAUGGCUCAGUUGAGAGAUACAAAGCUAGGUUGGUGGCUAAAGGGUAUACACAGAGAGAGGGGCUUGAUUUCUUAGAAACCUUCUCUCCAGUGGCUAAAACAGUUUCAGUUAGGGUGCUACUUGCUCUUGCUGCUGCUAAAGGUUGGCCACUGCAUCAGUUAGACAUUAAUAAUGCUUUUCUUCAUGGAGAUCUUGAAGAAGAAGUGUAUAUGUGUUUGCCGCCUGGUUUUCACAGUAAAGGGGAGCUACCUUCUUCCUCAUCUUCUGUUCCUUUGGUGUGCAGAUUGCUUAAGUCAUUAUAUGGCUUAAGGCAGGCAUCUAGGCAGUGGUAUGCCAAGCUCUCAGCUACAAUCUUGCAACUUGGAUUUACACAAUCUCAAUCAGAUCAUUCUCUCUUUGUUUAUACCAAAGGACCAUUGUUCACUGCUUUACUUGUUUAUGUAGAUGACAUGGUCAUUACAGGGAAUGAUCCAGCUUGUGUGGCAGCUUUGAAGUCCCUUUUAGACCAGAAAUUUGGGAUUAAGGAUCUUGGCUCACUCAAUUUUUUCUUAGGCUUGGAAAUAGCUAGAAGUGAGAAAGGGAUUAGUGUUAAUCAAAGAAAGUAUGCUCUUGAGGUUCUUAAGGAAACUGGUAUGCUAGGCUGUAAGCCUGCUAAAUCUCCUAUGGAACAGCAAUUAAAAUUGUCUAAGGGAAGUGGAGACUUGCUUAAAGAUGCUGGGCAGUUUAGAAGGCUUAUAGGAAAGUUAAUGUACUUAACUUUGAGUAGGCCUGACAUUACUUAUGCAGUCCACAGGCUUAGUCAAUUUCUUUCAACACCUAGACUGCCACAUAUGCAAGCUGCUACCAGAAUAUUGCAGUACAUCAAAGGUACUCCAGGACAAGGUGUAUUUUUUCCUGCUCAGUCAGAUUUGCAACUUAAAGCUUAUUGUGAUGCAGAUUGGGCAGGGUGCCCUGACACUAGGAAGUCACUUACUGGGUAUUGUGUAUUUUUGGGGGAUGCUUUGAUCUCUUGGAGAUCAAAGAAACAAAAUGUGGUUUCUAGGUCCUCUGCCGAAGCAGAGUAUAGGUCCAUGGCAACCACCACUUGUGAAGUAACUUGGUUGUUGUAUUUGUUGAAAGACCUUCAUGUUUUACACUCCAAACCUGUCUUAAUGUACUGUGACAACCAAGCAGCUUUACACAUAGCUGCUAAUCCAGUUUUUCAUGAAAGAUCUAAACAUAUUGAAGCUGAUUGUCAUAUAGUUAGAAAUAGAAUUCUAGAUGGUACUAUAAAGACAUUCCAUGUGACAACAAAGAAUCAGCUAGCUGACAUCUUCACUAAGGCACUUGGAGUGGAAACUUUCCUAAAGUUACUAAGAAGAUUAGGUAUUAUCAACAUUUUUGCUCAGACUAUUGAGUAUCCAGAGUAUGUAACAGAGAAAGAAGAGUCAAGAGCUUUGCUCUUGCGGGGGAGUGUUGAGAAUAAUGAAAGAAGUCUUGCUCAUCAGCCUAAGGUUCAAGAUGUGCUUCAUGUUGAACCACUUGCACAACAGAACAGACCCAUACUUGAUGUAGAGAAUGGUUGCAUAACUCAAACCUCACAGACAGCUUGGGCAAGCAGAGAACUGAUGGACUUAAUUGAAGCUGUGCCGUUUCAUGAGCAGUUCUUACACUCUUGGUGAUUAGGCACUCCAAGCACACGUGUACAUAGAAAGUGGCUGUAAUUGUUUUCCCUCCAAAUUCCCUAAAAUUCAGGGAAGUUUGUUACUCUGUUUUCUUCUUCUUUCAAUUUGUAUAUAUAUAGGAGUAGUGCUGUGUACGAAACAAAAGUACUUGUAUUUUUUCAAUCAAUAAAAUUAGUAUUCUAGAAUUUUACAUCCAUAAAGACCAUGUAUCUAUCAAUUCAUAUGGCAUCCGUGGCAAUUGACAUGGACAAGGUGUCUGUCAUGACAUAAAAGUGAAUCUUGCACUUUUGGUUCUCGUUUAAAUUAAAUUGACUUUGGAACUUUCACAAUAGUAUUUAUCUGAUAGCCUUUUGUUGUUGUUGUUUUCAGAGUUGUGAAGUGUGCAGGUCGAAGGGGACACAUUCUUAAUUUAGGUCAUGGUGUUCUUGUCGGGACGCCUGAAGAAGCUGUUGCACAUUUUUUUGAAGUUGCAAGAAGCUUGAAGUAUUAUACACUUUAUCAAGAUCGAGCAGUAGACUCUAAAUUGGUAAUUUGA
rnacentral:sRNA from 1 species